AUUGAACGCUGGCGGCAUGCCUUACACAUGCAAGUCGAACGGUAACGGGCCUUCGGGUGCCGACGAGUGGCGAACGGGUGAGUAAUGCAUCGGAACGUACCUUUCAGUGGGGGAUAACGUAGUGAAAGUUACGCUAAUACCGCAUAUUCUGUGAGCAGGAAAGCAGGGGAUCGCAAGACCUUGCGCUGAUUGAGCGGCCGAUGUCAGAUUAGCUAGUUGGUGAGGUAAAAGGCUCACCAAGGCGACGAUCUGUAGCGGGUCUGAGAGGAUGAUCCGCCACACUGGAACUGAGACACGGUCCAGACUCCUACGGGAGGCAGCAGUGGGGAAUUUUGGACAAUGGGGGGCAACCCUGAUCCAGCCAUGCCGCGUGAGUGAAGAAGGCCUGGU
rnacentral:rRNA from 1 species